CGCAGGGCGCGGCUGGGCCACUCGGCCGAGCUGGUGGCGCCUCUGUGAAGGCCUCUUCGGAAAGAGCGAAACGCCGCAUGGCUGUGAAGAGUGAGGAAAAAAGUGUGAGAGUCGGCCCUGAGAGCACCGAGCCAAUGAUUAUCAGAGGAAACUAAUAAUCUUUGAUGGUUUUGGGCUCUUUCAAAUAAAUGAAGUUUGCCAAUGAAUUUUCUUUUUCUAGAAGAGACAUCUUUUCUGAAUUAAGAGGUAUCAGAUGAUCAAUGAAUCCAAGAAUAAUCUGUAUUAAAACUGAGUUGGUCAUCCAAGACCUACUGGCUUGUCUUCAGUCAGCCACCACACUGGUAUACCUGUCAGCACGUACCAAAUCUACU